GGAAGGGGUGUAUUUAUUAGAUAAAAAACCAAUGCCCUUCGGGGCUUCUUGGUGAUUCAUGAUAACUUUACGGAUCGCAUAGCCUUGCGCUGGCGACGGUUCAUUCAAAUUUCUGCCCUAUCAACUUUCGAUGGUAAGGUAUUGGCUUACCAUGGUUUCAACGGGUAACGGGGAAUUAGGGUUCGAUUCCGGAGAGGGAGCCUGAGAAACGGCUACCACAUCCAAGGAAGGCAGCAGGCGCGCAAAUUACCCAAUCCCGACACGGGGAGGUAGUGACAAUAAAUACUGAUACAGGGCUCUUUUGGGUCUUGUAAUUGGAAUGAGUACAAUUUAAACCUCUUAACGAGGAACAAUUGGAGGGCAAGUCUGGUGCCAGCAGCCGCGGUAAUUCCAGCUCCAAUAGCGUAUAUUAAAGUUGUUGCAGUUAAAAAGCUCGUANUUGAAACUUGGGCCUGGCUGGCGGGUCCGCCUCACCGCGUGCACUCGUCCGGGCGGGCCUUCCUUCUGAAGAACCUCAUGCCCUUUCCU
rnacentral:rRNA from 1 species